ensembl:lncRNA
CAGCUGAGUCAGUCAGACUCAGUGGAGUUAGUGCUACCAGAAACUCGUUCAGUCGAGUUUCCGGUGAUUCGAAUGAUGAACGAGACGAACGUGAGAAACGAACCGGUUCGGUUUGUUCGUCCUUCGUCGUUCUGUUCGUUCAUUCGAACCGGUUCGCGAACGACCGAGCCAACACUAGAGAACACAUGUAGCGAUAGGCUAGGGAGCUAGACCUACAGUGCUUUGCUACGUGCUUACCUUCAAUAUAAUUACACUUGAACGUAUGUCGGUCUCCUGUGCUUAUUACUACUUGCAACAUAACAAAUUGGCGACGAAGAACUUACUCACGUUACUUUUGCACUACCGAUUUUUUUUGCUACAUUUUAAUGUUUCAAUAUGACUGCUACAGCACCUUUCCCGGAUUUGUUUCUGACUGCGCCGGGGGAGCCCGCCGUUCCAUUCAAGAUUUGGGAACAAAUGUUGAAGAACUACUGCUUGGUCAUCGACGUGGAUGGACUAAACUGGACUGAGGCAAGACAACGUGCCCUUUUGCUUCACUGCUUAUAUUAGGAACAGAGAGACAAAGAAUAUUUGACACAUUGCCGGAGACUGGUGCUACAUUGGCCACUGCGAUAGCUGCCCUGCAUGGCUACUUCACACCAAAGGGGUGCUACAUAUUCAACAUUCUCAAUAGCCUCAACCUCUCCAUCCAGGGGCGCUAUGCAUCCAUCCUUGACGUUAGCGACAAAAUAACUGCUUUUAUGAGGAAAACUGAGCUAUGGAGAAGAAGACUCCAAGAUGGAGUGACCGACAUGUUCCCGCAACUCACGGAUUAUCUUCACGCAAACAACCAGUCAGUUGCUGCAGUGAAAGAGGUAGCCACCUCUCACCUCACUGCACUCAGCAAGCACUUCAAAUCGUACUUACGUGAAUACUGAUGCUUGGGACUGGGUGCGAGAUCCCUUUGCGCCAGGAGUAACAUGUAGCGGCCUCCCUAGCAAAGCAGAGGAUGAGUUGGUGGACUUAUCUUGUGAUCGGACUCUGAAGGCCCGAUUCCAGCAGAGUUUAGAUUUUCUGCCCGCACCCGAGCCCGAACCGAACCGACCCGACCCGCGGGCCGGGUCGGUCCAAUAUUUCCCGCCACUAUCCUCGGGUCGGAUCGGACCGGGCGUGAUCAAGCUUUUUUGAGAGGGGGAAUCCAGGAAGGAUUGGGAGGAGAAAGGAGCCGAUCGCCACCAGAGAUCGCGCCAAGCAGAAUUUGAUUUACGUUCUGUCUAAUUGCCUUUGAUUUAUACGUUUAUGGAAAGCAAUAAAAGAACUUCCUUGGGGAAAAAGCAAAACCUGUGUCCAGCGCUCCAUUGACCCGUUACAGUGGAGCCCAAUGUGGGGCGAGCGUACAAAAAUGGACCAUUCCCCAUUGGGAAACGUGCUCGGGCACCUAGCCCAGAUGGCGGAGAGAAAAGGCCAGCUCCACCAGGCGCAGAACGAGGCACUCACGGACCUGGCACAAUCCUUGGCCGCCGAUCGGGCCAU